UACAGAGGGGGCAAGCGUUGUUCGGAAUUACUGGGCGUAAAGGGCUCGUAGGUGGCCAACUAAGUCAGACGUGAAAUCCCUCAGCUUAACUGGGGAACUGCGUCUGAUACUGGAUGGCUUGAGAUUGGGAGAGGGACGCGGAAUUCCAGGUGUAGCGGUGAAAUGCGUAGAUAUCUGGAGGAACACCGGUGGCGAAGGCGGCGUCCUGGACCAACACUGACACUGAGGAGCGAAAGCCAGGGGAGCAAACGGG
rnacentral:rRNA from 1 species